rnacentral:rRNA from 1 species
UACAGAGGGUGCGAGCGUUAAUCGGAAUUACUGGGCGUAAAGCGUGCGUAGCCGGUUAUUUAAGUCGGAUGUGAAAGCCCCGGGCUCAACCUGGGAAUUGCAUUCGAGACUGAAUAGCUAGGGUACGGUAGAGGGAAGCGGAAUUUCCGGUGUAGCGGUGAAAUGCGUAGAUAUCGGAAGGAACAUCAGUGGCGAAAGCGGCUUCCUGGACCAGUACCGACGUUCAGGCACGAAAGCGUGGGGAGCAAACAGG